UCCCUGGAUCCGCCCUUGAACAGAAUAUACUGCUAAAGAGUUGUUCCGCCAUAUUGCCUUCCCCAUUUAGCCCGUGAAAGCGAUCCCAUUUACUUCACCUCAUGUCACAUCCCCUCCCUCCCACAUAUGAAACUCAAUAAAAAGAAGAAGAAUUUUGAAAACUGCCGGCGUCCAUUGUGAUUGUGUACUAAUAGUAAUGUGAACAUUGCUUAUUUGUUUUUAUGUGUUAUGUUGUUUAGUUUUCACGUUUCAAUUCAAGAAUUCAAUUGUUCAGUUCCUGCCACUGUCUUCCUCUCACUGGUUCUUGUUUAAGUUCAAUUCAAUUCAACUAAAAUUCUGUACCCAUGAUGUGUUAUGUGUUAUAGUUGUAUUGGAAACAUCGUCUACGCUAAACUUUAGAUUACUGCUGAGGAUUUACCAAGGGACAGGGUACAUUACCGAAACGGAUAAAAUCAUGUCUGAUCAAAUAGAAGUAAAACAAGAAUUUAGUGAAGUGUGUAAAGAAGAUGAUGAUGAAGUGGGUGAUGCACUACUGGAUACCUUUAAAAUCGAGAUUAAGGAGGAGACUAAGAAGGAAAGUGCCUGUGAUACAUUUGAUUCUGCAGACCUUAAGGAGUAUCCUAUAAAAACUGAAGAACAAGAUGGUGUCUCUUGCGAAGACAUCCAAAAUGAUGAAUGCAAUGCAAUAUUAAAAUAUCCCGGAAAUAAAUUGAACCAAAAUUUAACUGCUACUACGGAUGUGACCACCGAAAAAAAAUAUUUUGAAUGUGAAAUAUGCUCCAAACAAUUAGCAACAAAGGGUAAUUUAAAAGUACAUAUGAGACUGCAUACUGGUGAAAAACCAUUUGAAUGUGAAAUUUGCAAGAAACAGUUUUCAUUGAAAUUAUAUUUGAAAUCGCAUAUUAUGAGUGUGCAUACUGGUGAAAAACUAUUUGGAUGUAAAAUUUGCACCAAACAGUAUUCAACGAAACAAAAUUUAAUAUCGCAUAUGAGAACGCAUACUGGUGAAAAACCUUUCACAUGUAAAAUAUGCGCCAAAGAGUUUUCACACGCACAAAGUUUACAAUAUCAUAUACAAACGCAUACUGGUGAAAAAUUUUUCACUUGUGAAAUUUGCACCAAACAGUUUUCAACGAAACAAGACUUAAAAUCACAUAUGACAGUGCAUACUGGUGAUAAAUCAUUUGAAUGUGAAAUUUGCACUAAACAGCUUUCAACAAAGGGUAAUUUAAAAGUACAUAUGAGAGUGCAUACUGGUGAAAAACCGUUUAAAUGUGAAAUUUGCAUAAAACAGUUUUCAACAAAUAGACAUUUAACCAUACAUAUGAGAGUGCAUACUGGUGACAAACCAUUUGAAUGUGAAAUUUGCACCAAACAAUUUUCAGUGAAACUAAAUUUAAAAUCGCAUAUGAGAGUGCAUACUGGUGAAAAACCUUUCACAUGCAAACUAUGUUCAAGACAGUUUUCACACAGAUGUAGUUUAAAAUUACAUAUUCAAACUCACCGAUGAGAACGAUGUAAAAGCACAUCUCGCUCAUCCGCAAGAAAAGUGACACAACUCACAAAUGCAUAAAUCGAGUUAUCUUGUUAAUUUGACUCCAAAUAUAUGUUUACAUCCAACUUCGAAAGAUGGCGGUAGUGUCAUUAUUCCUUUGGCGGUAAAAUAAGUACUUUUAUUCCGGAACAAUGACACUUUUCAGUUAUGUUCUGACAUUCGACGUGAACUUAUCGUUAUUUAUCACAAAAACCUAGAGUGUCCUAGGUAUUUUUCGUUAAUUUUAAAAAAAGUUGCAAACAUUUUAAAGAAAAGUGACAACUCAAAAUUUUGAUCAUUUUUCCUUAUUAAAUCAAAUAUAUAUUAUGUGUUUGUAAAUUUGGUUCCUUAGUUAUUAUUGUAAUACAGUAUACACUUCAUACUCCGUCGUUUUGCAAUCUGACACGCUCGGUAGUCCGACGCACCUCCCGUCAAGGUCGCCGCCGUGUCUGCUUGUACUCAAACCUGCCGCGACAUGAAUUAAAUGUAUUACCUUCCAUAUUUCUUUUAAUAAACAUGUUUUAGUUAGCCGAAAUGGAUGUUUCAUUUGCAUAUUAAUCUGGGUAGCAUUUUACUCAUAAAAUUUAAAAAAAUUGUAUCAAGGGACAACUGUAGUUAUUCUGAAUUUACUGAUUAAUUUUUAGACACUUAUAUUUAAAUAAAAACACUUAAUUAAUAUUAUUUUAUUUACAAUCACUCUAAUUCAUUUAAUAUUAAAAACAAGUAACUAAAAACUCACCCAUAAUUCUUCUUCUUAACGUGCCCUAUCAAGUCCCCUUGAUGUUGGCGAUUAACAUGGCGAAACUGUCUCUGUCUCGAGCUAUUCUAAAUAGUUGCUCUGCUUUCUUUAUACCUGUCCACUCUCUGAUAUUCUUUAACCAAGAGUCCUGUUUUCUGCCAAUUGCUCUGCGUCCUUUGAUUUUACCCAUCAUAAUAAGUUGAAGAAUAUUAUGUCGCUCUCCCCUUACUGCGUGUCCAAAAUAGGCUAUCUUUCUGUAUUUGAUAUUAUCAAGCAGCUCGCGAGUAGCAUUUAAAAUUGCGCGGUGAUAAAAAGAUUGUUUAAUAUCGAAUAUGAAAAUUGAAUGUUUGAUUAAUAUCGAAUAUGAAAAUUGAAUGUUUGAGAUUAAACAUAUUGCGCGGCGACAAAUAGCUCCGAACACGGCGACAGUAAAGCAACGACAAUAAAAUGAUGAUAAGAUAUUUAUAACAUAGCAAUAGUUUAAUGUAAUGUGUGAUGUGAAGACAAUAGUCUUUGAACAUUUCAUCAAUCCUCAAACUGCAACCCCUUAUGUAAUAAUAUCAAAAUUAAAUCUGAAUCAGAAUUUAAAUCAAAACAAAAUUCAGUUGGGUAAAGGUAAAGGAAAAUGUAUUGAGUGGGAAAGAUGUUUCAGUGUGUUCAUUAUUAUAUUAUUAUUGUAUUCUGUUGUUAUUAUUAUCGUAUUGUAUUAUUAGGUAUUAACCGUUUCAGUCACACACCUAGAAAGAGGCAUCCAAAAAUUAUAAAAUUUGGUAGAUAUGCUUGAGAGAGAUAACUAAAACAAUAUGUAACAAAAAAAAGAUUGCCCUCCAUCUGUUUUUUUUGUUACGACUUGUACCUCACAAGAUACAUGUUGCCUUUAAGGAUGUUACAAAAAAAAAAACAAAAUCAACUAAUUAGUAUUUAAUUUAUUCUAAUACUAGAAUUAAAUUUAUUAUUAUCAUCUAACGAAAUACAAAAAAAGAAUAGUUAUUUAGAAAAUUACUUAAGAGCCUGUCUAUUAUGAAAAUUGGCAAAACAAUUCCUGCCAUUUACUUCAUAUUGUAUAACUUCUUGGUCGUUGUUUGUCUCUUCCUUCAAAUCAUCCUCUAGAAUCCUUGAGAAUUAGCUUCUUCAUCUGAACGAGCACUUUAAUUCAAAAAUUGAACUAUUUCAUCAUUAGGUUCCAAUUGAGUAUCAUCCUCACAUCCAUCAUCUUUAUCGUCAAUAUCCGGAAUAUCUGUGGUAUCGUCAUUUUUAAGAUAAUAUAGUAACUCCUCAUUUGUAAGUGGUUUUUUACUAUAUUUAGCCAUAUCUGGAAAUAAAUAUUUCAUGGAAUAACAUGUUUUAUACGAAAAUAUAAGUGGUGUAAAAACAAAGUCGGCAAUCUCCCAUUUCCUUAAUUUUGGGAAACCGCGAAAAACUGUAGAAGCUAGCAAAAUUAAAUUAACGCAAUAAAACUGAUAAGAAUCAUAUAAAAUUUGGUUUGUGAUCGGAUAUCCAGAAGGAGGAGCUUAAGAAAUUAUUUAUUUUCCUUUUUUAAAUAUUUUUGUUUGGAGAUUGCCGCUUUUGUUUGCAACGCUAGUAGAUUGACUGAUAUGAAAAUGAUCUAUAAGGAUAUUACCAGUUUUGAAACUAAUUAAACAUCGUUGUGCCGGUUACUUAGUGAAGAAAAAUAUAUUUUGAUAUUCAACAAUAAUGUAAAAGCAAUUUAAAUGCAUAUAUCACGUAAACCAAAAUAUCCGGAAGUUCGGGUAUAUAUUCACAGGUUUCGACAGAGUUCACGACAUUCACAGUUGAUCACGUGCGAGAGCAACGUGGUUCUUAUUGGCCCGCAGCGGAGAUUGCCGUGUUUGGUACGCACUCAGCUAUGGAUAUUGCUGCUUUUGAUCUUAACAUGAAUUUUUCACUGCGAUUUGUAUACACUUAAAGACCGCUUUUGGUUUUUACAAAUAGUUUUAUCUAACAGAUAAUGUAUCAACAAAACAUGAAAAAGUGGAGAUUGCCGCCUUUGAUUUUACACCCCUCGAAUAAUACAUAUUAUUAUAUAUUAUUCGUUUUGUCACAAAAAACAUCUUUAAAGGCAGUUUGUACCUCACAAGGUACAUCUAAUUCAGGUGCCCAGAUUACCUACUACUUUGUAUCAUCUACAUUUUUGGGAAACUAAUACAUACUAUGAUAAAUUACAGUGUUUACUUACCUAUCAAACAUAUAUCCGCGUUUAUUUUCAAAAAUAAAUAGCAAAAACCACAUACACAGACUGUCCUAACCUCUUGCAAAUGUCACUUAAACGAACUAAUUUCAAAUCGGGUUAUAAUUAUCAAGCAAAAACAAAAUCAAGCGCAGAAUGCAGGCGUCUACGAAUUAGACUUGAUAUUUGACCUGCAAAAUAUUUUAUUGGAUAUAAGUCAAUUCCCAUUGGUGUUUGAAAUCAUACAUAAUAAAUGUACCUCUUGAGGUACAGUGUGAGUGAAAGGGUUAAUUAUUUUGCGGUCAUCCCUUUGUAUUGUCCUUUUGGUUGACCAUAAUUGAAGUAUUAGUUUAAGGUAAUACAUACUUCAAUUAUGGUCAACCAAAAAUGGUUCUUUGUGUUUAAACAAACGCCUCUAUACAGGACAACGCCUUGAAGCAAAAAAUAUUAAACUGUUCAUUUAUUUACUGAAUAAUCUGUGUAAAACAAUUCUUAGAGAAUGAAUAUAAAUACAAUAUUAUUUAGUUAAUACAUUGUAUUUAUGCUUAAUAAAAGAAAUGGCAUUGAAAUCAAAACAAAAUAAAUAUCAAGAUUUAUAUAAUGCCGUUAAGAAAGCAUAGGAACUCCGAUGAAAGUGUUGUCUUUCGUCCAAAUAAAGUUAAUUAGUUGUGCAGUGCAUUGAGAGAAAAAAGUACGCGGAUAUUAAUGAACUACAUAAUAAUACAGAUUUGGAUACAUUCGUAAAUAAUGUUUGAGACAACUUUAAAAAAUCCAGAAAUAGCAUGGAAUUUUUAUAAAAAUCACUAAAAGGGUGGGGGGUCAUGAGUUGCAAUUGCGAUGUCGGCAUGAGGGAGGCCGCAACUGUAAUUGAUUCUAUACGACGUAAGUGGGGGAGGAAAUUAAAAACUCCAAAUUUUUUUACGACGUAAUUUAUGGAUGUUCCCUAAAAGCACAUCUCACUCAUCCGGAAGGAAAGUGACACAAUUCAAAAAAUGCUAAAUCGAGUUAUCUUGUUAAAUUGACUCCAAAUAUCCAAAAAUUUUAUCAGAAAAAACGUCACAUAAUAUAUGCUUACAUUCAACUACGAAAGAUAUGGUAGUAGUGUCAUUAUUCUUUUGGCGGUAAAAUGAAUACUUUUAUUCCGGAACAAUGACAGUUUUCAGUUAUUCUCUGACAUUCGACGUGAACUUAUCAGUAUUUAUUACAAAAGUGGUUUUUCGAGAAGGAUUCUAGUAGUCCAUGUGGUGAGACCCUUCCCGUCUGAUAAACAUUUCUAAUUCGGUUUCUCUGCGGAUUCAUAUUCAAAAAUGUCCCCUUUAAACAAAUCUGAAGGGGGCCGGACGGAAUUUUUGGGCAGAAAUUGUUUAAACAAUUUUUUUAACCAAAUACAUAACCAAAGUUGAAACGAAUAAGCGAUGGACCAGCCCAGCUAAUUGAAAUAAUAUUCGAAAAUAUUACCUCAAUCAUCCAAGGUAGCCAUCGUUACACCCUUAGCUUAGCUCAGUCACUCAGGUGUGUGCUCGUCUUGUCCUAACCUUAGAUAUAAACUCUGAAAAUUUAGAAUGGUAGCAAACAAAACAAUAUUUUUAACUAAUCAUGUUUAUUGUUCAUAAAGAUAUAAUAAAAAUAUGACAUAGUAAAUUGCAUUAACAAAUGUAUUCAAAUUCUUGCCAAAAACUAACAAUUCUGGAUUAUACUUAUGGCUUUUGGUAUUCGGCUCGAUGGUAACUUCUUGAUGUCGAAUGGUACUGCUGUUGUAGACUUCUCGUAGGCCUGGACGGAUCUUCGGCCCUAGGUCCCUGCAGCUAGAGAUGGUGGUUGUGCAGUCUACAUGUCAUGGUCUCACGUUGUCAGCCAUCUGGUGCAUCGCCGGCGAUGUGCUUCAUGCUCCCGAAAGGAGAAAGUAGAUUUUAUUCCCAAAAACUGUAACAGUAAAACCAUAUCAACAAUCAAGAAGAAAACCAAAUUGUACCUUUGCCAAAUAGUAUUCAGAAAUAGUAAUUGGCAAGGGUAAAUUAGAUAGAAUUUAGAUGAGGAGAAUAGUUAAAAUUUUGAUUAUUAAACGUGCAUAUAAUAUGUAAAUUAAAAAGAUAAUAUAUUUAAAACCAAAAUAUCAAAACACAUGGUCUGACAUUGAAAGUUAGGUUAGAUAUAAAAAAUAUUAGAAAAAAUAUAAGAAGCUAGGUAUGGAUGGAAUAUAAUGACUGUAAGAAAUUAUUAAAAAACUGUAUGUAACUCACCCCAAGAGAAAGAUUUGUUUUAGAAUAAAAAUUAUUUAUUUUUGAAGCUUCUUUGCCUUUUAUGACAUUUCCACCACUAUUUUGGAGAAUAAAAUAUGGGGGUUGUCACUGUCAUUAAAAUGACAUGACAACGAACCUUGGACGAAAUUUGAAAUAACGAACAUGGAACACAAGAGAUGAUACAAUGUAAAUAGGGUUGCCUAUAGAACGGGCGCCAACCGAUUUUUAAAGGGGAAAAUGGGUAAACCCAAUAGAAGAAGAUAAUUAUUAAUGAAAUAUUAAAGGAAAUAAGGUAAAAUAAUUAUUUAAAAAUAAAAUAUCAAAGAUGUGACGUUUGUAACGUUAAAAAGUUUAAACAAAUACAUAAGAUAACCUUUUAUUGCUCCAAAAAAAUAUAUUUUUAGGUUUUUUGGGUCAUUCUAAACAAGAAAGGUAUCUUGUGAUUUUUCUCAAAAAUUUAGUUUUCGAGUUAUAGGCGAUUUAAAAUCUAAAAAAUGCGAAAAUACGCAUUUUCGAGGUUUAAAUUAGUAUUUUUAAGGGUGCCAAUAACUUGUAUUAAAGUUUAAACAUUCCUUUUCAAGAUUCCGAAGAGUGAUCGGGUCUAACUUCAAUUUAGACCGUAGUUUUUUAAUUGUUAAUUAUGCGUGUCAGCGUGUCCAUCCGGUUAUUUUGCCGGUGCAGCGUGCACUAUUUUCAAAAAUCUCCUAUUUUCCUCCCAAUAAUAUUUUUUCUAGAUUCUUUGGGACAUUCUAAAUAAAAUAAGUUUCUUGACAUUUUCCUCAAAAGUUACUAGUUUUAAAAUUAUAAGCGAUUUAAAAUGCGAAAAUGUGUUUUUUGUCAUUUACCGCCAAAAGAAUAAUGAUACUACCACCAUCUUUAGUUGGAUGUAAGCAUAUGUGACGUUUUUUCUGAUAAAAAUUUUGGAUAUUUGGAGUCAAUUUAACAAGAUAACUCGAUUUAUUUAUAAAAACAGUCACCCCCACUGUGAUAAAUAAUCUGUUGAAAUGAAAGUAAACUUGAUGUAAUAGUUAGAAUGUUUGCAAUGAAAGUGAUAGGCAAACCACAUUACACGUUAGAUCGAAAACCUGAGAAACGAUGUUAAGCCCUCUCGUGUGUACACCAAGGGUUUAGAAAAGCAAUUUUAUGUUGAUUUUAAGUUGUCGAUUUUUUUUUUGAAAAAUGGCUUUGGCAGAGCCAGUUAGCCAGACUUGUUUGUGAUUGAUUGCAGAUUCAUAGUCAUAAAUUUCUUAUAACGUGUCUCUUGCGAAGACAUCCAAAAUGAUGAAUGCAAUGCAAUAUUAAAAUAUCCCGGAAAUAAAUUGAACCAAAAUUUAACUGCUACUACGGAUGUGACCACCGAAAAAAAAUAUUUUGAAUGUGAAAUAUGCUCCAAAC